GGCUUCAACAACCCCGCAGGUCGGGCGUGCAGUUUACGCAGUGGACCUGCUGGAGCC
rnacentral:sRNA from 1 species